rnacentral:rRNA from 1 species
GUGGAGCAAUCCAUGAGUAAAGUGGCGACCGGGUGAGUAACACGUGACUAACCUACCUUCGAGUGGGGGAUAACCUCGGGAAACCGGGGCUAAUACCGCAUAACAUCUUUGAAGUGGAAAUUUCGGAGAUCAAAGGAGCAAUUCGCUGGAAGAGGGGGUCGCGGCUGAUUAGCUAGUUGGCGGGGUAACGGCCCACCAAGGCUUAGAUCGGUAGCCGGCCUGAGAGGGCGCACGGCCACACUGGAACUGAAACACGGUCCAGACUCCUACGGGAGGCAGCAGUGGGGAAUUUUGCGCAAUGGGGGAAACCCUGACGCAGCAACGCCGCGUGGAGGAUGAAGUCCCUUGGGACGUAAACUCCUUUCGACCCGGACGAUAAUGACGGUACGGGUGGAAGAAGCCCCGGCUAACUUCGUGCCAGCAGCCGCGGUAAUACGAGGGGGGCAAGCGUUGUUCGGAAUUACUGGGCGUAAAGGGCCAGUAGGCGGCCAACUAAGUCCGACGUGAAAUCCCCAGGCUUAACCUGGGAACUGCGUCGGAUACUGGAUGGCUUGAAUUCGGGAGAGGGAUGCAGAAUUCCAGGUGUAGCGGUGAAAUGCGUAGAUAUCUGGAGGAAUACCGGUGGCGAAAGCGGCAUCCUGGACCGACAUUGACGCUGAACGGCGAAAGCUAGGGGAGCAAACGGGAUUAGAUACCCCGGUAGUCCUAGCCCUAAACGAUGAAUG